UUUAUUUUGCUCACUUGGUUUCCUUUUGAUGCCUAUAAUUGUUGACUUAGUAAUCUUCUUCAUUGCACUGUCUAUUGUGUGUACUUGCAACUGCUAAUGUCAAUUGUCUCUCUGGCUGAGGUCUCAAACUGGAAAACUAUUUUUGUAGUUAGAUGGGGCAGCUAUCAGUAGAUUGGUUCAUUGUAGCAAAUUUAUAUUUUUUUAAUGAUUUUGCGAUUCGAAGUGGAACUGAAGGGUUUUCUCUUAUUAGUAAUGAUAGCUAGCCAUCAAUUAUAUUUAAUAUCUAAAGAAUGUUUUACUUUCCCUAGGAAUGAUUAGUUUUUACUUCACAGCCCAAUAAUUCCAUUUUAUUCAAUUUCUGUAUAUAAGUUUGUAGAAUAUUGAACACGUUGCUUCUUUGCUUCUAAUUGUCUAAAAAUCUUUUUUGUGCCAGUGUAUCCUUUCCUUUUGGUGUUGUUCUUUAAUAUUGGACACACAAUUUCUAACCUGUUUUUAUUUUUUUUCUUAUUUUGUUGAGGAUGGAAUAACCAAAGCUCUGGAUACAUUGAAGAGAAUGAAGCAGAAAAUAAGACAUCAAUCAAAGAAACUAAAAGCAGCAUGGUGAUCUAAGCAAAUAGGAUGGAAUAACCCAAGCUCUGGUGGAAUUGUAGAGAAUCAAGCAGAAAAUAAGACAUCAAUCAAAGAAACUAAAAGCAGCAUGGGGAUCUAAGCAAAUAGUUUUUGGUGGAAACCAGCAUGGACCAAAAUUAGAUUUGAGAGUUGCAAACACAGUAAAAGAAGAACUUGCAAAUAGGCACUUCAUAGACCCUUACUGCUCUCACCUGGAUUGCCCUGAGCUGGUGUUCCGACUUGAUAUUCUUGACAGCAACGAACAGGCUUGGCAUCUUGACAGACCAAUACUAUUUCGAAAAGGAAGUAAACUGAACUUAAUGUGUGAAGGAUUUUUGCCAUGAAGAACCGGGGUAUUUAUACAGGUUCAUAAUUCAAAUUUACCAUUGAU